rnacentral:rRNA from 1 species
UACGUAGGGGCGAGCGUUGUCCGGAAUGAUUGGGCGCAAAGGGCGCGCAGGCGGCCUGUCAAGUCAGUAGUGGAAGUCCAUUUUUCAAGGAUGGAAGUGCUAUAGAAACUGAUGGGCUUGAGUGCAGGAGAGGUUAUCGGAAUUCCCGGUGUAGCGGUGAAAUGCGUAGAGAUCGGGAGGAACACCAGUGGCGAAGGCGGGUAACUGGACUGCAACUGACGCUGAGGCGCGAAAGUGUGGGGAGCAAACAGGAUUAGAUA